rnacentral:rRNA from 1 species
GAUGAACGCUGGCGGCGUGCCUAAUACAUGCAAGUCGAGCGAACGGACGAGAAGCUUGCUCUUCUGACGUUAGCGGCGGACGGGUGAGUAACACGUGGAUAACCUACCUAUAAGACUGGGAUAACUUCGGGAAACCGGAGCUAAUACCGGAUAAUAUUUUGAACCGCAUGGUUCAAUAGUGAAAGACGGUCUUGCUGUCACUUAUAGAUGGAUCCGCGCUGCAUUAGCUAGUUGGUAAGGUAACGGCUUACCAAGGCAACGAUGCAUAGCCGACCUGAGAGGGUGAUCGGCCACACUGGAACUGAGACACGGUCCAGACUCCUACGGGAGGCAGCAGUAGGGAAUCUUCCGCAAUGGGCGAAAGCCUGACGGAGCAACGCCGCGUGAGUGAUGAAGGUCUUCGGAUCGUAAAACUCUGUUAUUAGGGAAGAACAUAUGUGUAAGUAACUGUGCACAUCUUGACGGUACCUAAUCAGAAAGCCACGGCUAACUACGUG